GGGUUGUGAGGUUAAGCGACUAAGCGUACACGGUGGAUGCCCCGCAGUCAGAGGCGAUGAAGGACGUGCUAAUCUGCGAUAAGCGUCGGUAAGGUGAUAUGAACCGUUAUAACCGGCGAUUUCCGAAUGGGGAAACCCAGUGUGUUUCGACACACUAUCAUUACGUGAAUACAUAGCGUAAUGAAGCGAACCGGGGAACUGAAACAUCUAAGUACCCCGAGGAAAAGAAAUCAACCGAGAUUCCCCAGUAGCGGCGAGCGAACGGGGAGCAGCCCAGAGUCUGAAUCAGCUUGUGUGUUAGUGGAACGGUCUGGAAAGUCCGACGGUACAGGGUGAUAGUCCCGUACACCAAAAUGCACAGGUUGUGAACUCGAAGAGUAGGGCGGGACACGUGGUAUCCUGUCUGAAUAUGGGGGACCAUCCUCCAAGGCUAAAUACUCCUGACUGACCGAUAGUGAACCAGUACCGUGAGGGAAAGGCGAAAAGAACCCCAGCGAGGGGAGUGAAAAAGAACCUGAAACCGUGUACGUACAAGCAGUGGGAGCCUACUUGUUAGGUGACUGCGUACCUUUUGUAUAAUGGGUCAGCGACUUAUAUUCUGUAGCAAGGUUAACCGUAUAGGGGAGCCGAAGGGAAACCGAGUCUUAACUGGGCGUUAAGUUGCAGGGUAUAGACCCGAAACCCGGUGAUCUAGCCAUGGGCAGGUUGAAGGUUGGGUAACACUAACUGGAGGACCGAACCGACUAAUGUUGAAAAAUUAGCGGAUGACUUGUGGCUGGGGUGAAAGGCCAAUCAAACCGGGAGAUAGCUGGUUCUCCCCGAAAGCUAUUUAGGUAGCGCCUCGUGAAUUCAUCUUCGGGGGUAGAGCACUGUUUCGGCUAGGGGUCAUCCCGACUUACCAACCCGAUGCAAACUGCGAAUACCGAAGAAUGUUAUCACGGGAGACACACGGCGGGUGCUAACGUCCGUCGUGAAGAGGGAAACAACCCAGACCGCCAGCUAAGGUCCCAAAGUCAUGGUUAAGUGGGAAACGAUGUGGGAAGGCACAGACAGCCGGGAUGUUGGCUUAGAAGCAGCCAUCAUUUAAAGAAAGCGUAAUAGCUCACUGGUCGAGUCGGCCUGCGCGGAAGAUGUAACGGGGCUAAACCAUGCACCGAAGCUGCGGCAGCGACACUAUGUGUUGUUGGGUAGGGGAGCGUUCUGUAAGCCGUUGAAGGUGUGCUGUGAGGCAUGCUGGAGGUAUCAGAAGUGCGAAUGCUGACAUAAGUAACGAUAAUGCGGGUGAAAAACCCGCACGCCGGAAGACCAAGGGUUCCUGUCCAACGUUAAUCGGGGCAGGGUGAGUCGACCCCUAAGGCGAGGCCGAAAGGCGUAGUCGAUGGGAAACAGGUUAAUAUUCCUGUACUUGGUGUUACUGCGAAGGGGGGACGGAGAAGGCUAUGUUAGCCGGGCGACGGUUGUCCCGGUUUAAGCAUGUAGGCGGAGGUUCGGUAAAUCCGGUACCUUUUAACGCUGAGGUGUGAUGACGAGGCACUACGGUGCUGAAGUAACAAAUGCCCUGCUUCCGGGAAAAGCCUCUAAGCAUCAGGUAACACGAAAUCGUACCCCAAACCGACACAGGUGGUCAGGUAGAGAAUACCAAGGCGCUUGAGAGAACUCGGGUGAAGGAACUAGGCAAAAUGGUGCCGUAACUUCGGGAGAAGGCACGCUGAUAUGUAGGUGAAGUGAUUUACUCAUGGAGCUGAAAUCAGUCGAAGAUACCAGCUGGCUGCAACUGUUUAUUAAAAACACAGCACUGUGCAAACACGAAAGUGGACGUAUACGGUGUGACGCCUGCCCGGUGCCGGAAGGUUAAUUGAUGGGGUUAUCCGUAAGGAGAAGCUCUUGAUCGAAGCCCCGGUAAACGGCGGCCGUAACUAUAACGGUCCUAAGGUAGCGAAAUUCCUUGUCGGGUAAGUUCCGACCUGCACGAAUGGCGUAAUGAUGGCGGGCUGUCUCCACCCGAGACUCAGUGAAAUUGAACUCGCUGUGAAGAUGCAGUGUACCCGCGGCAAGACGGAAAGACCCCGUGAACCUUUACUAUAGCUUGACACUGAACACUGGUCCUUGAUGUGUAGGAUAGGUGGGAGGCUUUGAAGUGUGGACGCCAGUCUGCAUGGAGCCAUCCUUGAAAUACCACCCUUUAAUGGCUGGUGUUCUAACGUGGACCCGUUACCCGGGUUGCGGACAGUGUCUGGUGGGUAGUUUGACUGGGGCGGUCUCCUCCUAAAGAGUAACGGAGGAGCACGAAGGUUAGCUAAUCUGGUCGGACAUCAGGAGGUUAGUGCAAAGGCAUAAGCUAGCUUGACUGCGAGAGUGACGGCUCGAGCAGGUGCGAAAGCAGGUCUUAGUGAUCCGGUGGUUCUGAAUGGAAGGGCCAUCGCUCAACGGAUAAAAGGUACUCCGGGGAUAACAGGCUGAUACCGCCCAAGAGUUCAUAUCGACGGCGGUGUUUGGCACCUCGAUGUCGGCUCAUCACAUCCGGGGCUGAAGUAGGUCCCAAGGGUAUGGCUGUUCGCCAUUUAAAGUGGUACGCGAGCUGGGUUUAGAACGUCGUGAGACAGUUCGGUCCCUAUCUGCCGUGGGCGCUGGAGAAUUGAGGGGGCUGCUCCUAGUACGAGAGGACCGGAGUGGACGCAUCACUGGUGUUCGGGUUGUCAUGCCAAUGGCAUUGCCCGGUAGCUAAAUGCGGAAGAGAUAAGUGCUGAAAGCAUCUAAGCACGAAACUUGCCCCGAGAUGAGUUCUCCCUGAGACUUUAAGUCUCCUGAAGGAACGUUGAAGACGACGACGUUGAUAGGUCGGGUGUGUAAGUGUAGCGAUACAUUGAGCUAACCGAUACUAAUGAACCGUGAGGCUUAACCUUACAACGCCGAAG
rnacentral:rRNA from 1 species